rnacentral:lncRNA from 1 species
GGCAACCACCCGGCAAUCACCCAGCAACCAUCCAGCAGUUAGUCUCCGGUCGGUCAGUGUGUAUGCCGGUUUGCUGGCUUCAUCGCGCACAUUCCAUCAUCCCGAUUAAUGAAUUACGCAGCGCGGUGGUCAUCACCGUGGCGCCCCCUGCUGCGCACCUCGGCGGCCGUCCUGCGCAUCAGUACUCGUUAGACAGCAGCAGCGAAGCGCUCGUGCAACCUGCAAGCGGUGUUCCUGAACACCAGCGCCAAAUAUUCACCGCAGUAUAGAAUCCCCCCUCGCUCGCGCACACACACAUACAGACAUUCACACAUACAGACGUUCACACAGACACACAUACACACAUAUGCACACAUAUACACAUACACACAGACACACACAGACACACACAUACACACAUAUACACACAGACACACACAUACACACAUACACACACAUACACACAGACACACAUACACACACAUACACACAUACACACACAUACACACAUACACACAUAUACACAUACACACAUACACACACAUACACACACAUACACACACAUACACACACAUACACACAUAUACACAUACACACAUACACACACAUACACACACAUACACACACAUUUACACAUUUACACAUACACACAUACACACAUACACACAUACACACAUACACACAUUUACACAUUUACACAUUUACACAUACACACAUACACACAUACACACAUAUACACACAUACACACAUAUACACACAUAUACACACAUAUACACACAUACACACACAUUUACACAUUUACACAUACACACAUUUACACAUACACACAUACACACAUACACACAUAUACACACAUACACACAUAUACACAUAUACACACAUAUACACACAUACACACAUAUACACACAUAUACACGCAUAUACACACAUACACACAUACACAUACCGGUGUGUCCUCAAAUGUCAGUUGUGCAGUGCAUACGUCGGACAUAGGUACAGAAUUGAUAUCUUGGAGAGUUAUGGUUAUAAGAAGAAAAGUGCCUGCUAGCUAGCGCUGUUGCUUUCCAGGCGGCCAAGCCAUGCACUCAAGCACAGCCAAGGCCCGAGCUGCCGCAUAACGUUCAGCGGUCAGUCUGUCGCCAUUGCAAUCAUCUAUACAGUCUUGUUAAAGCCAUCGGGAGUGCACCUUCCUGUGGAACGGUCCCCAUGAAGGCCGCCCCGAGCUCUCAAACCCCACAGGCCCCAUAUCGAGCGUCAAUGUUUCCCCCUCCAUCCAUGACCCCAUGCACCUUUUGCCCUAGUGCCAGAACCACUCUGGG